GUUACAGCCGCCGCGGUAAAACGUAGGAGGCGAGCGUUAUCCGGAUUUACUGGGCGUAAAGAGCGCGCAGGCGGUCGUUCAAGUCGCGUGUGAAAGCCCCCGGCUCAACUGGGGAGGGUCACGCGAUACUGAUCGACUCGAAGGCAGGAGAGGGAAGUGGAAUUCCCGGUGUAGUGGUGAAAUGCGUAGAUAUCGGGAGGAACACCAGUGGCGAAGGCGACUUCCUGGCCUGUUCUUGACGCUGAGGCGCGAAAGCUAGGGGAGCAAACGGGAUUAGAUACCCUUGUAGUCC
rnacentral:rRNA from 1 species